rnacentral:rRNA from 1 species
UACAGAGGUCCCAAGCGUUGUUCGGAUUCACUGGGCGUAAAGGGUGCGUAGGCGGUCGGGUAAGUCUGACGUGAAAUCUUCAAGCUCACUUGGAAACUGCGUCGGAUACUAUUCGGCUAGAGGAAUGGAGGGGAGACUGGAAUACUUGGUGUAGCAGUGAAAUGCGUAGAUAUCAAGUGGAACACCAGUGGCGAAGGCGAGUCUCUGGACAUUUCCUGACGCUGAGGCACGAAAGCCAGGGGAGCAAACGGG